rnacentral:rRNA from 1 species
UACGUAGGGACCGAGCGUUGUCCGGAAUCAUUGGGCGUAAAGAGCGUGUAGGCGGCUUGCUAAGUCCUGCGUGAAAUCUCGGGGCUCAACCCCGAGCGGUCGUGGGAAACUGGCAGGCUAGAGUGCGGGAGAGGAGAGUGGAAUUCCUGGUGUAGCGGUGAAAUGCGCAGACUAUCAGGAGGGAACACCGGUGGGCGAAGGCGGGUCUCUGG